rnacentral:lncRNA from 1 species
UCGUGAAGAACCUCUACGAACUAUUAUCUACGAAACACUCUCUAGACUUACGCUAGGAGAUUUUUUACUGUUGUUUACGGUGUGUUUUUUUUUUUAAUGAAUGAAGAGAGUCGGGUUUACUUAAAGAGAAGAACGACAGGUUUAUUUAAAGAGAAGAACGAGAGACACUUCCCGCAAUAGUUGCUGCACGUGGGCGGAAAUUAGAUCACGAGAAGUUGAGUUUCGAAAACGUAUUCCCAAGACUCUCUUAUCUCGUUUAAAAAAUUCGAGAGGAUAAAAUGUAUGACGUUUUUAUUUUAUAGACAAACUAUACUUGCGUUCUUAUUAGGCCGGAAGCCUUCCACCAAGAUCCAAGCCCAAGCCGAACUAGCCGGACAUCGGCGGCACGCAUGGGGAGCUCUCUCUUCCUCAGAGCCAUUUAAUCUAUUGUAAGUGUGUAGACUAAUAUAUACUGCUCGUUUUUGCCUCAUGUGACGGAUGUGGGAUGUUUCUAAAUCCCUUCAUUAAAGUCAUUAAAGGGUUUUGUAAUUACACCCCAUGCCCAUUUCUUUUCAUCAUUUGCCAAUAUUUAUUAAAGCCAUUGGGCUUAAUUAAUUUGUCCAACAAGAACUGAAUAUCAAUAUCACUUAUCUUUUUCUGAUUUGGUUGAAUUUUAAAUAACGUAAACUAGACCUGCGCAAGGCGCAGGGUAAAAGUAUAAAUAUAAUUUUUCUACCGUAGUUCAAAGAAAAAAUAAUAAUUUUAUUUACAUUUUAGUUAGUAAAUACGGUUUUGUAUUAUCAGACUUGUGAAUUAGGUACAACCCGUAACAUAUUUUUGGGCUUUUUAGUUAUGUUAGUGUCAGAUUUACUACCUAGUUGUGUAUAUAUAUGUUUACGAAGUUUUUUUUUUUUUUUUUGAAAAAGGGCGUUAUAUAUGUUUACGAAGUUUUACCCUAACAAAGUAAA